rnacentral:rRNA from 1 species
AGAGUUUGAUCCUGGCUCAGGAUGAUCGCUGGCGGCGUGCCUAACACAUGCAAGUCGAACGGUUAAACCGCCCUCGGGCGGACAUACAGUGGCGAACGGGUGAGUAACACGUGACCAACCUGCCCCGCGCUCCGGGACAACCGCUGGAAACGGCGGCUAAUACCGGAUACUCCGCGGCCCCCGCAUGGGGGCGGCGGGAAAGCCCCGACGGCGCGGGAUGGGGUCGCGGCCCAUUAGGUAGUAGGCGGGGUAGAGGCCCACCUAGCCGACGAUGGGUAGCCGGACUGAGAGGUCGAUCGGCCACAUUGGGACUGAGAUACGGCCCAGACUCCUACGGGAGGCAGCAGUGGGGAAUUUUGCGCAAUGGGGGAAACCCUGACGCAGCAACGCCGCGUGCGGGACGAAGGCCCUCGGGUCGUAAACCGCUUUCAGCAGGGAAGACCACGACGGUACCUGCAGAAGAAGCUCCGGCUAACUACGUGCCAGCAGCCGCGGUAAUACGUAGGGGGCGAGCGUUAUCCGGAUUCAUUGGGCGUAAAGCGCGCGUAGGCGGCCGCCUAAGCGGAACCUCUAACCCCGGGGCUCAACCUCGGGCCGGGUUCCGGACUGGGCGGCUCGAGUGCGGUAGAGGAGAGCGGAAUUCCCGGUGUAGCGGUGGAAUGCGCAGAUAUCGGGAAGAACACCGAUGGCGAAGGCAGCUCUCUGGGCCGUCACUGACGCUGAGGCGCGAAAGCUGGGGGAGCGAACAGGAUUAGAUACCCUGGUAGUCCCAGCCGUAAACGAUGGAUACUAGGUGUGGGGGGAUCCCCCCUCCGUGCCGCAGCCAACGCAUUAAGUAUCCCGCCUGGGGAGUACGGCCGCAAGGCUAAAACUCAAAGGAAUUGACGGGGGCCCGCACAAGCAGCGGAGCACGUGGCUUAAUUCGAAGCAACGCGAAGAACCUUACCAGGGCUUGACAUGCGCCUGAAGCCGCGGAGACGCGGUGGCCGAGAGGAGGGCGCGCAGGUGGUGCAUGGCUGUCGUCAGCUCGUGUCGUGAGAUGUUGGGUUAAGUCCCGCAACGAGCGCAACCCCCGUCCCGUGUUGCCAGCAUUAGGUUGGGGACUCGCGGGAGACUGCCGGCGUCAAGCCGGAGGAAGGUGGGGACGACGUCAAGUCAUCAUGCCCCUUAGGCCCUGGGCUGCACACGUGCUACAAUGGCCGGUACAGAGGGUUGCCACCCCGCGAGGGGGAGCGGAUCCCGGAAAGCCGGCCCCAGUUCGGAUCGCAGGCUGCAACCCGCCUGCGUGAAGCCGGAGUUGCUAGUAAUCGCGGAUCAGCACGCCGCGGUGAAUACGUUCCCGGGCCUUGCACUCACCGCCCGUCAAG